GACGAACGCUGGCGGCGUGCCUAAUACAUGCAAGUAGAACGCUGAAGGAGGAGCUUGCUCUUCUGGAUGAGUUGCGAACGGGUGAGUAACGCGUAGGUAACCUGCCUGGUAGUGGGGGAUAACUAUUGGAAACGAUAGCUAAUACCGCAUAAUAACAGUUGUUGCAUGACAACUGUUUGAAAGGUGCAAUUGCAUCACUACCAGAUGGACCUGCGUUGUAUUAGCUAGUUGGUGGGGUAGCGGCUCACCAAGGCGACGAUACAUAGCCGACCUGAGAGGGUGAUCGGCCACACUGGGACUGAGACACGGCCCAGACUCCUACGGGAGGCAGCAGUAGGGAAUCUUCGGCAAUGGACGAAAGUCUGACCGAGCAACGCCGCGUGAGUGAAGAAGGUUUUCGGAUCGUAAAGCUCUGUUGUAAGAGAAGAACGAGUGUGAGAGUGGAAAGUUCACACUGUGACGGUAUCUUACCAGAAAGGGACGGCUAACUACGUG
rnacentral:rRNA from 1 species